UAAUGUUUCAUUCUUUUCAGAUUUAACCCAGUGGAAUUAAUAAUUGUUCAAAGUGUGUGUAUAUUUUUGGAGGACACCCUGUACAUGUUUGUAUCUGAGAAACAGCAC